GCGGUGCGAUGCCGCUUGGCGAAGACGGCGUGGUGAUCGGCGUUGAGACAACGUCGUCCACGUCAAGAGGUGGCCGCCGCGUGCGGCAAGAGGACAUGGUGAUGGACGCCUGCGCUGCGAUGGCGUCGGUCCACGGCAGGGUGUGCAGCGCCGCGAUGGCGUCGUCAAGUGAUCGCGGGUGAUCCGUGUCAAGGAUUGAAGAAUCAAGAUUAAGGGUGAGAUUGUUAGGCUUUUUAAUCUUGAUUAUGUAUCUGCAUAUUUGUUUUGAGUCCUACAUGUAACUUAGAUGUCUAGGGAGUAGCGAGUCCGGCGAAGCUUUAACAAAGAUGUGUGGAGAAGGCGAGAUGCCAGACCGCCGUGAGAAGCGGCAAGACAUGAUGAAGCUGGAGCGUGACCGGCUGCACGAUGAGGAGGAGCUGGGUGAUCCGGCAAGGUAGUUAGCUGUGUGUGUUAGUGGCCAGGAUUUGUGCAUGCACUAGUUAGUUAGUUAGUGGCUGCAUGCAUGAGUUGCAUGGCCAGGUUGCGUGGGCGUUGAGAAAGGAUGGCGUGCAUGUAGCUAGUAGGUUAGUGCGUGGAGGCCGAGUCUUGUGCAUCGUGGAGAGAUUCCAGGGAUGCAUGGUCUUAUCUUGUACUGCCUACUUAAGUUAAGAAAAUGAAUGAGAAGAGGAGGCCGAGAGGGCUGAGGAAUAAGAUGUAGCCAAUGUAUUCACCAAGGAGAGAGCCUCAUGCAAAGUAAGAGCUGGU
rnacentral:lncRNA from 1 species